CUGUCGGUCUGUCUGUCUGUCUGUCUGUCUGUCUGUCUGUCUGUCUGUCUGUCUGUCUGUCUGUCUGUCUGUCUGUCUGUCUCACUCUCUGUCUCGCUCUCUCUUUCUGUCUCUGUCCAGUCUCUCUCUCUCUCUCUCUCUCUCUCUCUCUCUCUCUCUCUCUCUCUCUCGCUCACUCUUUCUGUCUCUGUCUCUUUGUCUCUGUCCAGUCUCUCUCUCUCUCUGUUUCGCUCACUCUCUCUGUCUCUUUCUCUGUCUUGCUCUCUCUUUCUGUCUCUCUGUCUCUGUCCAGCCUCUCUCUCUCUCUGUCUUGCUCACUCUUUCUGUCUCUGUCUCUUUGUCUCUGUCCAGUCUCUCUCUCUCUCUCUCUCUCUCUGUCUCGCUCACUCUUUCUGUCUCUGUCUCUUUGUCUCUGUCCAGUCUCUCUCUCUCUCUCUCUCUCUCUCUCUCUGUUUUGCUCACUCUCUCUGUCUCUGUCUCUGUCUCUUUCUCCCUGCUGUAUAUGUUGCCAUUUCUCAGUUUAAGCAGCCUUAUCCCCUGUUAAUCGUUCCAAAGGGCUUUCCUGAUUAUUUGAUAAAUUGCUUUAGUACACUGGAUCCAAUUCAUCUUGUCUUGGCCUUUUCUCAAACUCGCCGUGACAAAGAUCUGACGUAGUGGAUCAAAGUUUAGAGUAACUUUAUUUUCUGCUUCCACCAAUUAGCAAUAAUUCAAUGAGUUGUGUUGUAUUGUACUGCACUGUUUAUCCAGCUUAUGGCUGUUAUGUAUGUGAAUGGCACUGACACUGAAGCGUUAUCCUGCAGAGAUCUAUUCAAACCCUUAGAGUUCCACCUCUUUCCCUGCAGCCUGUUGACUUUCCUUUUAGAACAGCUGGGAACGAGGGACGAAUAAAGAGUGGCACCUUUUUCUCUCCUUCUUGGCGUUUCCAAAGACAUCCUUUGUGUGGGAGACAAAGGGACUGGAGUUAUUGAUGCUGGGAGUGUUGACAUCCUGUCACCAGGACCCCAGGUUUAUGUUUCUGUGGUGGGAGUGUUGACAUCCUGUCACCAAGACCCCAGGUUUAUGUUUCUGUGGUGGGAGUGUUGACAUCCUGUCACCAGGACCCCAGGUUUAUGUUUCUGUGGUGGGAGUGUUGACAUCCUGUCACCAGGACCCCAGGUUUAUGUUUCUGUGGUGGGAGUGUUGACAUCCUGUCACCAGGACCCCAGGUUUAUGUUUCUGUGGUGGGAGUGUUGACAUCCUGUCACCAGGACCCCAGGUUUAUGUUUCUGUGGUGGGAGUGUUGACAUCCUGUCACCAGGACCCCAGGUUUAUGUUUCUGUGGUGGGAGUGUUGACAUCCUGUCACCAGGACCCCAGGUUUAUGUUUCUGUGGUGGGAGUGUUGACAUCCUGUCACCAGGACCCCAGGUUUAUGUUUCUGUGGUGGGAGUGUUGACAUCCUGUCACCAGGACCCCAGGUUUAUGUUUCUGUGGUGGGAGUGUUGACAUCCUGUCACCAGGACCCCAGGUUUAUGUUUCUGUGGUGGGAGUGUUGACAUCCUGUCACCAGGACCCCAGGUUUAUGUUUCUGUGGUGGGAGUGUUGACAUCCUGUCACCAGGACCCCAGGUUUAUGUUUCUGUGGUGGGAGUGUUGACAUCCUGUCACCAGGACCCCAGGUUUAUGUUUCUGUGGUAGGAGUGUUGACAUCCUGUCACCAGGACCCCAGGUUUCUGUGGUGGAAGGGCACAGGAAGCCAACAGAUUUCACCGAACUGGUCAUAUGAAUAGAAACAGACUUUGAUUUCCUGGCUAGCUGUGUGGUUGGUAUUGUUGAUUGGA